rnacentral:rRNA from 1 species
GUACAAUAAGCAAAAUAAGGGCGUAUGGGGGAUGCCUUGGCUCUCAGAGGCGAUGAAAGGCGUGAUAAGCUGCGAAAAGCUACGGGGAUUGGCACACACGAUAUGAUCCGUAGAUACCUGAAUGGGGCAACCCACUAUGUUGAAGACAUAGUACACCGAUAGGUGGGCAAACCCGCUGAACUGAAACAUCUAAGUAGGCGGAGGAGAAGAAAACAAAAGUGAUUCCGUAAGUAGUGGCGAGCGAACGCGGAUUAGCCCAAACCAAUGAUGUUACGGCAUUAUUGGGGUUGUAGGACCACGAGAUUUGUUGCGGAUUGAAUUAGAAUCUACUGGAAAGUAGAGCCAGAGAAGGUGAUAGCCCUGUAUAAGUAAAAGAAGAUAACGAUAGUGGUAUCCUGAGUAGGGCGGGACACGAGAAAUCCUGUCUGAAUUUGGCGGGACCAUCCGCUAAGGCUAAAUACUCCUGAGAGACCGAUAGUGAACCAGUACCGUGAGGGAAAGGUGAAAAGAACCGUGAAUAACGGAGUGAAAUAGAUCCUGAAACCAUACGCUUACAAGCGGUCGGAGCCCUUUCGUGGGGUGACGGCGUGCCUUUUGCAUAAUGAGCCUACGAGUUAACGUUGCUGGCAAGGAUAAGUGGUUAAG